rnacentral:rRNA from 1 species
ACGAACGCUGGCGGCGUGCCUAAUCCAUGCAAGUAGAACGCUGAAGGCGGAGCUUGCUUCUCUGGAUGAGUUGCGAACGGGUGAGUAACGCGUAGGUAACCUGCCUGGUAGCGGGGGAUAACUAUUGGAAACGAUAGCUAAUACCGCAUAAUAGCAGUUGUUGCAUGACAACUGUUUGAAAGGUGCAAUUGCACCACUACCAGAUGGACCUGCGUUGUAUUAGCUAGUUGGUGGGGUAACGGCUCACCAAGGCGACGAUACAUAGCCGACCUGAGAGGGUGAUCGGCCACACUGGGACUGAGACACGGCCCAGACUCCUACGGGAGGCAGCAGUAGGGAAUCUUCGGCAAUGGACGGAAGUCUGACCGAGCAACGCCGCGUGAGUGAAGAAGGUUUUCGGAUCGUAAAGCUCUGUUGUAAGAGAAGAACGAGUGUGAGAGUGGAAAGUUCACACUGUGACGGUAUCUUACCAGAAAGGGACGGCUAACUACGUG